AUGCCACCUCCGCCUGUGCUUCCCUCAGGAGUUUGUCCUUUUCCUUGAUGGCCUCUUCCUCCUUCAGAAUGCCUGGCAGUGCUGCCGUCUCGUCUCCAAUGGCACCUUGCCUCCGGCGCUCCCGUGCUGCCUCCUCCCGCAUCAUAGCCAUCUCCUUCCUCAGGGAAUCCACAGAGGUUUGUAGCUCGCGUUCUCGUGCCGCCAUUUCUUGGGUCUCCUCUGUAGACUUUUUUAAUACUGUGAGAAGCAGCCAACCCACAGUCCCUGCUACCUCCCGGGCACUCUGCUUCUCAAAGGAUCUGCUUACUAUACCAAGGGCCACCCCUUCAGCCUCAGGUGUCACCUCCACUGCCUCCAGUCCUGGGGUGGCCCAGUCCUCUAGGAGGCAAGCCACCUCAGACCACAUACCCAGUGGGGGACGAUCCACUGUCUUCCCAUUCACAGGGGCAGCCCACUGAAGCACCCCUCCCAUAAAGGCAGCUUGUCUUUGUCCUUGGUCAACAGUGAACCCUGCCAACUUUCACCAGUUGUCUUGCCAAUGGAUUUCAGCCCCAGGUUUCCCUGAGGUCCUUCCUGCCAGGCUUUCUCCAGAACCAUUUCGAGAGAUCACAUGCUUCCCAAGUCCUCAGGAAUUGGUCCCUGGACUCCUUUAAAAAGCAUAUUUAUUUCUAGAGGCUCUUUGGUUCUUUGUCAAACCUGUCUGAUCAUUUUAGAGUUUCUUGCUUCUUAUUAUUUAAAUUCCUUAUUUUAUAUUUUUAAAUAUAUUCAAUAUACUUA